rnacentral:rRNA from 1 species
UACGUAGGGAGCAAGCGUUGUCCGGAUUUAUUGGGCGUAAAGGGCUCGUAGGCGGCCAACUAAGUCGGAUGUGAAAUCCCCAAGCUUAACUUGGGAACUGCAUCCGAGACUGGUCGGCUUGAAUCCGGGAGAGGGAUGCAGAAUUCCAGGUGUAGCGGUGAAAUGCGUAGAUAUCGUGAGGAAGACCAGUGGCGAAGGCGGGUCUCUGGACAGUUCCUGACACUGAGGCACGAAGGCCAGGGGAGCAACGGG